GGCGGGUUUCCUUGUGUAACUAAACUUCCUUCACUGCGCGCCCACGUCCAUCCGGACGGCCGUGUGAGAUUACGCUUUAAAAUCCGCACGGCCGUGCGGUCUUUAAUUCUGCAGAAAUCUGAUUUUUUCACUUUUGGCCCACUUUUUCUCUGAAUUUACAGUUUUCACCCCAAAAGUUGCCAAUUCUUCAAUUUGCACCUAAAAUACAAAUAAUAGCCAUUUUAAGCACCAAUUAUCGUAAAAACACACCAAAAGCUCCAAUUAAAAGGUACAAUUAAGUGUAUAAAUAUACACUUA
rnacentral:lncRNA from 1 species